AAAGCACUUUCCAGUACGUUUACUUUGUUACGACUUAUCCCUUUAUCGAGAGUGACGGGCGAUAUGUGCAUGUUUUAGUACUCACUUCAACAAAACAUUAUAAUUUUAAUUUACUCUUAAAUCCUAACUAAAUCUUUCAUUCCACUAAUUUAUAUUAAUCUAUGUAACUUAUUUCAUACUCAACUUUUUGCUGCAUUUUGACCUAACAUUCUAAGUAAAGCCUCUCUUAACAAUUCACCAACCAAUAUCAUUAUGUGAUAGCGAUAUACAAGCUGACCUUACAAAGCUAAGUAAGAUCAUAGUGUUUUAUCUAUUACAGAAUAAAUUCCUCUAAAAAGUCAAAAACACCGCCAAAAUCUUUAAAUUUCAUAAAAUUUAUUUACUCCUAAUCUUUAUUCUCAAUAAUAGGGUAUCUAAUCCUAAUUUUUUAGGAGAAUUUACCAGACUCAAUAAAUUUAAUAAACCUAAUAAUUUCACCUAAUAAGCUAGAAAAGAGGUUUUUAUUUUUCUACAUUAAAUAAUUACUCGCCCUGCCUGCAUAACCGCGACUGCUGGCACAGGCUUCGUCAGGAGACUGAAAAGCUCUAAAUUUAUUUUUUAAAUAACUUAAAUUUAUCUUCUAAAAAAAUGUUUUUCUAUUUUAUGUAUAAAGAAUCUUUAUAUGUAAGUAAUUUUUACUAUAUAAAUAU
rnacentral:rRNA from 1 species